rnacentral:misc_RNA from 1 species
AAGUCGUAACAAGGUUUCCGUAGGUGAACCUGCGGAAGGAUCAUUAAGAAUGACAAUAAUGGAAUAGGUGGAUAGGUUGAACAAGGUGUGGGGAGAAGAGAGCGUGCGUGUGGCAGGAUGGCAAGUAUUUGCUAUGCUGCUGCCAGCAUACCCUCCUCCCCCCCCCAACACUAACUAGCAAUACUAUCAAUCAAGCCAAUCAACGAUCUAGUUUAAAACAAUAAAAACUUGCAACAAUGGAUCUCUUGGCUCUU